rnacentral:rRNA from 2 species
CGACCGCGACCCCAGGUCAGGCGGGACUACCC